ensembl:lncRNA
UGUGGCUGGAUAGUAGCUGGUUGUGUAGUGUGGCUGGAUGGUAGCUGGUUGUGUAGCUGGAUAGUAGCUGGUUGUGUGGCUGGAUGGUAGCUGGUUGUGUAGCGUGGCUGGAUGGUAGCUGGUUGUGUAGGGUGGCUGGAUGGUAGCUGGUUGUGUAGGGUGGCUGGAUGGUAGCUGGUUGUGUGGCUGGAUGGUAGCUGGUUGUGUGGCUGGAUGGUAGCUGGUUGUGUGGCUGGAUGGUGGCUGGUUGUGUAGCGUGGCUGGAUGUGGCUGGUUGUGUAGUGUGGCUGGAUGGUACCUGGUUGUGUGGCUGAAUGGUAGCUGGUUGUGUGGCUGGAUGGUAGCUGGUUGUGUGGCUGGAUGGUAGAUUGUUGUGUAGUGUGGCUGGAUGGUAGCUGGUUGUGCUAGCUUGGCUGGAUGGUAGCUGGAUGUGUAGCGUGGCUGGAUGGUAGCUGGUUGUGUAGGGUGGCUGGAUGGUAGCUGGUUGUGUGGCUGGAUGGUAGCUGGUUGUGUGGCUGGAUGGUAGCUGGUUGUGUAGCGUGGCUGGAUGGUAGCUGGAUGUGUAGGGUGGCUGGAUUGUAGCUGGUUGUGUGGCUGGAUGGUAGCUGGUUGUGUAGCUUGGCUGGAUGGUAGCUGGAUGUGUAGCGUGGCUGAUUGUGUAGCGUGGCUGGAUGGUAGCUGGUUGUGUGGCUGGAUGGUACCUGGUUGUGUAGUGUGGCUGGAUGGUAGCUGGUUGUGAGUGGUGGCUGGAUGGUAGCUGGUUGUGUGGCUGGAUUGUAGCUGGUUGUGUUGCUGGAUGGUAGCUGGUUGUGUGGCUGGAUUGUAGUUGGUUGUGUGGCUGGAAGGUAGCUGGUUGUGUAGCUGGACGGUAGCUGGUUGUGUAGUGUGGCUGGCUAGUAGCUGGUUGUGUAGUGUGGCUGGCUGGUAGCUGGUUGUGUGGCUGGAUGGUAGCUGGUUGUGUAGCUUGGCUGGAUGGUAGCUGGAUGUGUAGCGUGGCUGAUUGUGUAGCGUGGCUGGAUGGUAGCUGGUUGUGUGUCUGGAUGGUACCUGGUUGUGUAGUGUGGCUGGAUGGUAGCUGGUUGUGUAGUGUGGCUGAUUGUGUAGCGUGGCUGGAUGGUAGCUGGUUGUGUGGCUGGAUGGUACCUGGUUGUGUAGUGUGGCUGGAUGGUAGUUGGUUGUGUGGCUGGAUGGUACCUGGUUGUGUGUGUGGCUGGAUGGUAGCUGGUUGUGUAGGGUGGCUGGAUGGUAGCUGGUUGUGUGGCUGGAUUGUAGCUGGUUGUGUUGCUGGAUGGUAGCUGGUUGUGUGGCUGGAUUGUAGUUGGUUGUGUGGCUGGAAGGUAGCUGGUUGUGUAGCUGGAC